ensembl:lncRNA
UUUCUUUUUCUUUUUCUUAUUCUUUUUUGUUUUGUUUUGUUUUUGCUGUUCCACAAAAGCAAUACAAACAGAAUUAAACCCAUUCGGUGAUUUUACAAUGAAGAAUGACAAAAUGCAUUUUCCAAGAAUUUUGCAGGAAGUGGAAAUGGAAAAUGACAAGUAUUUUUGCUUCUCUCCACAAAAACUGCAAGUGCUGUACAAGCACGAGCUGAUGUUGAAUUAGUGUGCUGUGCUGAAGAGCAGGGAUCAGUUGGCCCAGAAGUUUCCAAUGUUGUCCAUAGACAGUAUAGCUUGGAGAGCAUCCCCGGAGCGCGUCCUUCCCCUCUGCAGGUGGGAGCCUGAAGUCUCUAUGGUAACAAAAGUAAUAAUCUAUGCGGGAAAAUAAAUAAAUAAAUAAAGUUUGGAAAAAGCAUCGAAACAAAAUGUAGAGUCCUUUGUGUUCUGGAAAUAAGAAGGAAUCUCAGGCCAGCCAUGAGCAGGGCUGUGUGCUGGGAGCUGGACGUGAUGCGAUGCGGUGGCUGAAGUGGAGCGUCUUGUUCACACACCAAGUCUGUUGCAAGAUCUGGGAAAAGAACUUUUCUGCCUUUCCCAUCCACAAAGAGCAAAGCUGAUAUUUUUCAGUCUAGAUUGUUAUUUUCUUUCUUGGAUUAAGGAAAACAAAAAUGAGAGAGAAAGAAAACCAGUGACUCACUGCAGUUUCUUUGCUGAAACACAGCUGCCCUUGUCACAGGAACAGGAUUCUUAGAGCCUGCAUCCAAAAUUUAUUGCAAAAUAAAUCUGAAACUUUUAAAAACAAGGAGGCUAAAUGAUGUUUCUCAUUCUUUUUUAAUUUGUGUUUGUGAGUGUAGGUCCAGACUCCAGCCAGGAUCAAGGGUAGAGCUGGAAACUUGGGAGAAACAAAGUUCUUGUGAAAUUUUCAGACAAAUUUUGGAAGCCCACACAGCCUACACUGGUUGGACAAGCUUCAAAAUAAGUACAUGCUUCUCAAAGCUUUGAUGCAUCCGGACCUUUUGGGAUUUCUGCCAUUGAAGGUCAGCUUAGCUGCGCCCACACCACCACUCAAAGCAGGGAGGAGAGCCUAGGGCCAGACCAACUCGGAGACGUUGCAUCAGCACGGCAGGUCAAGUGAACACCGAACCUGCAGCAAGAACAGAGCUGCAUCCUUAGGCUCCCUCCUUUCCAGAAAAUUAAGUGAGGUCACUCAGAAAGCAGAGAAAGAAGAGGGGAUGUAGACUGUACCCCAUCCUACACAUCACAGUGAUUUAUACUAAAAUUAAUGGCACUCAGCUGCUCGCCAGCUCCUUUCCCACAGCACCAGGAAUGUCGCGCACUGAGAAAACCUGCACCCCUGAAAGCAGCACAUCUUUCACAAUAAGAGAAUACUGAAUACUUGCAGGCAAACACCGGACACCAGGCAGUCCCUCCCACAGCACCAAAGACUAUUUGACACUGCUGCAAAGGAGGACAUUGAAAUGUGCACUCAUCAAUGAUGACUUUUAAAGGAAACAAUAACAACACCUUUCUGACCUCAAAUUUUCUAUUGGAGGAUGAAAGCCCCACUGAAAAUUCUUGCUGAAGAGGCCAGAGCUUCUGGACCUGGAGCCUGAGGGACAUCCUGGGGGCUCCCACUGAAGGCAUCUCCCAUCAAAAGGGCCAUAGAGAUGGCAUGGGCAGGGUGAAGCAUAUCCCCACCCAAUCUCUUGGGUUACCUCAUGGUAAACACUCUCACCCCUUUCCUUCCCCUCUAGCCAGCACUGGCCUGCACAGUGGGCAUUUGCAUGCUUCUUAGCCAUUUUUAAUUAGAUCCUGAAAAUUCUUACAUUAUGUUGUACCUUUCCACCCUGGGCCCUCACUGACUAUGGCCACUUGUGACAUUCUUAGCCACUUGCUUUCAUUCUUAGCACAGACAUGAAAACAGAUUUCUUUGUUCUUUGGACGAGUUAUUAGGCUUACAAUUAGUAAAGAGAACAAUGUCAGGCUCUGUGUAAAAGUUACAAGUGUGAAAUCGAGUUCUGCCAGUAAAUUGCUACCUUUUCUUUAGCAUUGCAAGCCACGCUCUCCAGUUUAUUUGAACACAUAAAAUAUGCUAAAUGUUUAGCAGCACCACUGUGUAAAGAAGAGUUGGAUGAAGUAUAUAUUUUUAAAUACAGUGAGUAAUAAAAUGUUGAGUAAAUUCCCAAGAAUAUCAUUUUGGGGCAAGUACAAUAGAAUGCUUAAUGGCAUAUAUUCCCAGGUCUGCUGUUUUUAUUCCUCCUUUUCUCCCGCUUUAAUCUCCUCACCCAGACAGUGGUUGUUGUUAUGGGAGCUGCUAGAAAGGGCUUCAUCCAUAGACACUUCCAGCACCGAGAGAAUGAGACGAGGAGCACCAGGCAUUUGCAGUCAGUGCCUCAUGCUUCAGCAGUGCACUGGGCACUGCCCUGUGCCCACCCCUGGCUGCGGUAGAUGGCAGCGAGCUUCUGGGCAUGCACUUGGGUGGUGGUUCAUAAGGACCACAGGAAACAAGGAAAAUUAUAAAGCGAAUGCGGGGGGGGGGGGAGGGAUAAAGGCAAACAAGCCUCCUUCACAAAUUCAUUUUCUCCAAAUUUAUUUCCUUUUCAUUUAACUCGGUUGAGAAAUGUCCCCCCGGACUUCAUCAGAAAAUCAAUCUCCCCAUUUAAAGUUCUAAACGCAGUUCUAAGCAGCUCUGAUAUGCAAAGCGGCGUGAGAAAUCCAAACCCUCAUCAGACAAUCUGCACGCUGUUUGGAGCCACUGCUGCAGGUGAAGUCAGCAUCGCUUCUCUCCAGACCAAACUCUGUGGGCUGAAUUGAGCCGAUGCUGCCCAGUUCCUGUGGCAAUUCCUGUAGCUGGGCUUCGGUAUGCAUAAACUCUCCACAUUUAGGAUAUUACCCUUCACAGAGCAGCUUAAUAUUUCAACAGGCCUUUUUAAUUUCGUAGCGCAAAUCACCUUUUACCCUUUGCCACACAGUUAUGCGCCGGGUAGCGCAGUGCGCCCAUAUACCCACUGUUUAGCUGGUUUUAUACUGCUGGUUUGCAACUAACUGUCUGUACUUUGUUUCAAUAUUAAAAACUGUCUGCUGUAUGGUAGCUCUGAGAUCAUGUUCCCAAACCGCUCUCAGUUCCUGCUGCCUUUCUGUGCUAUCUAUCCUGGAAAUGGGAAUCUUUAUUCCAUAGGCUCAUAAGAGGGUAAAUAUACAUUUUCUAAUUCUAGGAGAUAUAUUCAAAAGAAAAACAAACAGCAGAUUCUGAUGUUAUAGUUCUCAUAUUUAGCCUGUAUUUUCUAGAACGUUACUUUUUAGUUGUUUUAAAAGUUGUACUAACUGUAAUCUAGGGAGACGUUACCUUCAUUUUGAAGCAUCAACCAAACACCAUAAUAUAAAUGAUGCAUAUUUGUUAUCUUUAAUUAUAUAUAUAUAAAAUAAAUAAAUAGUAACUGGAUAGUAUGGAGCAGUAUAUUUUCUAUACUGUCUCUGAGUUAUCAGUUAAUACAAGACAG